rnacentral:rRNA from 1 species
UACGUAGGGUGUAAGCGUUGUCCGGAAUUAUUGGGCGUAAAGAGCUCGUAGGCGGCUUGUCGCGUCGGCUGUGAAAACUCGGGGCUCAACCCCGAGCCUGCAGUCGAUACGGGCAGGCUAGAGUACGAAAGAGGAUCGCGGAAUUCCCGGUGUAGAGGUGAAAUUCGUAGAUAUCGGGAGGAACACCGGUGGCGAAGGCGGCGAUCUGGGUCGAUACUGACGCUGAGGUGCGAAAGCGUGGGGAGCAAACAGG